GAUGAACGCUGGCGGCGUGCCUAACACAUGCAAGUCGAGCGAUUCUCUUCAGAGAAGAGCGGCGGACGGGUGAGUAACGCGUGGGUAACCUGCCCUGUACACACGGAUAACAUACCGAAAGGUAUGCUAAUACGAGAUAAUAUGCUUUUAUCGCAUGGUAGAAGUAUCAAAGCUCCGGCGGUACAGGAUGGACCCGCGUCUGAUUAGCUAGUUGGUAAGGUAACGGCUUACCAAGGCGACGAUCAGUAGCCGACCUGAGAGGGUGAUCGACCACAUGGGAACUGGGACACGGUCCAAACUCCUACGGGAGGAAGCAGUGGGGAAUAUUGCACAAUGGGCGAAAGCCUGAUGCAGCAACGCCGCGUGAGCGAUGAAGGCCUUCGGGUCGUAAAGCUCUGUCCUCAAGGAAGAUAAUGACGGUACUUGAGGAGGAAGCCCCGGCUAACUACGUGCCAGCCGCCGCAGUAA
rnacentral:rRNA from 1 species